UCAAAACUUUCAACAACGGAUCUCUUGGUUCUGGCAUCGAUGAAGAACGCAGCGAAAUGCGAUAAGUAAUGUGAAUUGCAGAAUUCAGUGAAUCAUCGAAUCUUUGAACGCACAUUGCGCCCUCUGGUAUUCCAGAGGGCAUGCCUGUUCGAGCGUCAUU
rnacentral:rRNA from 59 species